UGGUGAGUAACGCGUGAGGAACCUGCCUUUCGGAGGGGGACAACAGUUGGAAACGACUGCUAAUACCGCAUGACGUAUCGGGAUCGCAUGGUCUUGAUACCAAAGAUUUUAUCGCCGAAAGAUGGCCUCGCGUCUGAUUAGCUAGUUGGUGGGGCAACGGCCUACCAAGGCGACGAUCAGUAGCCGGACUGAGAGGUUGGCCGGCCACAUUGGGACUGAGAUACGGCCCAGACUCCUACGGGAGGCAGCAG
rnacentral:rRNA from 1 species